GAUGAACGCUAGCAGCAGGCCUAAUACAUGCAAGUCGAACGGUGUCUUCGGACAUAGUGGCGCACGGGUGCGUAACACGUAUGCAACCUACCUUACAUUGGGGGAUAGCCUUUCGAAAGGGAGAUUAAUACCGCAUAAGACAGUAACUAGGCAUCUAGUAGCUGUUAAAGAUUUAUCGAUGUAAGCUGGGCAUGCGUCCAAUUAGCUAGUUGGUGAGGUAACGGCUCACCAAGGCAAUGAUUGGUAGGGGAACUGAGGGGUCAAUCCCCCACACUGGCACUGAGAUACGGGCCAGACUCCUACGGGAGGCAGCAGUAGGGAAUAUUGGGCAAUGGACGCAAGUCUGACCCAGCCAUGCCGCGUGCAGGAUGAAGGCGUUAUGCGUUGUAAACUGCUUUUAUACAGGAAGAAACGACUCUUGCGAGAGGCAUUGACGGUACUGUAUGAAUAAGCACCGGCUAACUCCGUGCCAGCCGCCGCGGUAAAAC
rnacentral:rRNA from 1 species